UGCUGAACUGUCAGUCAGUCUGAACAAGGAAUAGAAGCCAAAUGACUCAUUGAUGAGAGGUCAGUCCCUGUGCCAAAAGGCUAACCCAGUGAGGCACAGAUUCUUCCAGAGUCCACAGAUGGCUCAGGCUUGGCUCCUUGCAGUUUGUGUUUUCUUCUGCCUCAGACCAGGAGAAGAUGCCGUAAUAUGCAACAGGUGCACUCCUGGGAAUCCAUGUAACAAUCCUCGAAACGCAUGUCAGAAUAUAGGCUGCGUAGUGAAAAAAUUUUUUAGAGGUGGAAGGUUUAUUUUUAAAGAGAUGGACUGUUAUAAUAAAAAAUUCCAGAAAUGUGGAAUGAAAGAGAUACGUCCAUGGUCUGCAAUCACUCAUGAAUAUAUCUGUUGUUCUGAUCUGGACUUUUGUUCUGAUAAACUGUAGACUGAGAGUUGUGGAUGAAGACAAAUGUAAUAUUUAGAGAACUUAAUUUCAAGGAGGUUUAAUUAAAAUACAAAAAUUAUUAAAUUUCAA